GAUGAACGCUGGCGGCGUGCCUAAUACAUGCAAGUCGAGCGAACAGAUGAGAAGCUUGCUUCUCUGAUGUUAGCGGCGGACGGGUGAGUAACACGUGGGUAACUUACCUAUAAGACUGGGAUAACUCCGGGAAACCGGGGCUAAUACCGGAUAAUAUUUUGAACCGCAUGGUUCAAUAGUGAAAGACGGUUUCGGCUGUCACUUAUAGAUGGACCCGCGCCGUAUUAGCUAGUUGGUAAGGUAACGGCUUACCAAGGCGACGAUACGUAGCCGACCUGAGAGGGGAAUCGGCCACACUGGAACUGAGACACGGUCCAGACUCCUACGGGAGGCAGCAGUAGGGAAUCUUCCGCAAUGGGCGAAAGCCUGACGGAGCAACGCCGCGUGAGUGAUGAAGGUCUUCGGAUCGUAAAACUCUGUUGUUAGGGAAGAACAAAUUUGUUAGUAACUGAACAAGUCUUGACGGUACCUAACCAGAAAGCCACGGCUAACUACGUGCCAGCCGCCGCAGUAA
rnacentral:rRNA from 1 species